AGUGAACGCUGGCGGCGUGCCUAAUACAUGCAAGUCGAACGGAGAUUAAGUAGCUUGCUAUUUAAUCUUAGUGGCGCACGGGUGAGUAAUAUAUAGCUAACUUGCCCAUUACUAAGGGACAACAGUUGGAAACGACUGCUAAUACCUUAUACUCCGUAUCUAUAUAAGUAGAUACGGGAAAGUUUUUCGGUAAUGGAUAGGGCUAUAUCGUAUCAGCUAGUUGGUAAGGUAAUGGCUUACCAAGGCUAUGACGCGUAACUGGUCUGAGAGGAUGAUCAGUCACACGGGAACUGAGACACGGUCCAGACUCCUACGGGAGGCAGCAGUAGGGAAUAUUGCUCAAUGGGGGAAACCCUGAAGCAGCAACGCCGCGUGGAGGAUGACACUUUUCGGAGCGUAAACUCCUUUUCUUGGGAAAGAAUUAUGACGGUACCCAAGGAAUAAGCACCGGCUAACUCCGUG
rnacentral:rRNA from 1 species